ensembl:lncRNA
AUGCACACUCUCCCCCCACACACACACACGUGCGUACACACUGCCCACACACACGUGCAUGCACAUGCGCACUCCCCCACUGCCCCCCAUGCACACCUGUUCACACACUCUCCCUGCAUACACACACUCCCCCCAUACAUGCCCCCCACAUACACACGUGCACACYCCCCCCGCACUUGCACACACACACUCCCCCUCAAAACACACACGCACACACAACUCCCGCCAAUGCACACACACACCCUCCCCCCCCACACGUGCACACAUGCGCUCCCCCCAAACUCACACGCGCACACACACUCAUGCACACAUACACUCCCCCAUAUACACAUGCACACUCCCCCUACACAUGCGCAUCCACACACUCCCCCCGCAUACACACUCCAGCACACGCAUACUCCCCCAUACACAUGUGCGCACUCACCCCCUUAUGCGCACACUCCUGCCACACACGCGCACUCCCCCAUACACAUGCACGCACACACACUCCCCCCACAUACACACGCGUGCACUCCCCCCACACAUGCACACACUCCCCACACACUCUCCCUACACACACGCGCGCAACUACACAUUCUCCCCGCAUACACACAAUCCCCCCAUACACGCACUCCCCCCACAUGCACACUCCCCACACACACCCCCAUGCAUGCAUGCGUGCACACUCCCCCAUACCCAUGCACACACAUACACAACCCCCCUGCAUGCACUCCCCCCGCACACACCUGCAUUCCCCUGCAUACAAACACCUGCACACGCAAACUCCCCCAUACACACACACGUGUGCGCACACAUGCACACCCAUACAAGCGUGGACACACACUCCUCACGCGCACGCAUGCUCCCCACACAUGCGCGCACACACUCCGCCUGCAUACACACAUGCACACGCACUCCCCCCCGCAUAAACAUGCACACUCCCUCUACACACACUCCCCUCGCACACACACAUGCACACUCCCCGCAUACAUGCACCUGCAUGCACACACUCCCUCCAUACAUGUGCGAGCACAUGAGCACACACACACUUGCCCAAACUCGCAUGUGCACAGGCACACACACGCCCAUGCACACACCUGCGUGCACACAUGUGCACACAUGGGCACAUGCACACACAAGCGCACACAUGCACACACAAGUGCACACAUGCACACACACAUGCGCGUACUUGCGCACCCCCGCCGACAUGCACACGCGUGUGCACGUGCCAAAACACGCACACACACUUGUACACUCUCGUACACUCAUGCGCACACACACGUGUGCACCAGUGUGCGCACACACGCACGUGCACACACACAUGCAUACUCAUGCACGCACUUGUGCACACACCCACGCACUCACGCACACACACGUGCACCCGCACCGACACACCAACAAACGUGCACACACACGCACACACUUGUGCACACGCAAGCACACGCCCACUCACCCACACUUGCGUGCACAGACGCACACACACUCACCAAAACUCUCAUGGGAGCACACGCACACACUGGCGCGCACACUUUGUGCACACUCACACAUGCACCCGCACGUGCACUUGCACACAUGCAUGCGCUUGUGCACUCACGUGCACGCGUGCAUGCAUGCCCACGCACACACACAGGCGCACACAACACUUGCACGCACACUCACACGUGCACACACACUCAGAAGCUUGCACGCACUCGCAUGCACACUCACACACACGCUUGCAUGAACCCUUGCACACGCACAAGCACUUGUGCACACACACACGUGCACACAUGCACAGAUGCACACACACUUGUGCACACUCAUGCACACACGUGCACCCGUGCACUCAUGCACACACCCAUGCACUCGUGCACACAUGCUCACGCACUUGUGCGCACUCAUGCAAACACACACAUGCACACUCACGCACAUCUGCGCAAACACACAUGCACUCAUGCACACACACACGCUCUUAUGCACACACACACACGCACCAGUGCACACCGCGUGCACGCACAAGUACACCUGCAUGCACGCCUGUGCACUCAUGCACACAGGUGCAUGCACACGCACAAACAUGCACAUGCACACACGCACCCCACGCAUACGCACAUACGCGCACCCACACGCACAUGCACACACACAUGCGCACACAUGCAGGCAUGCACACACACGCACACGUGCACUAGUGCACCCACACAGACACGCACACGUGCGCUCGUGGACACAUGCCCCCACACUCGUGCGCCCCUGCCCACACGCGCACGCACGUGCGCACAUGCACACAUGCACGCACCUGUGCACACACGCGCACACGUGCAUUCACAUGCCCCCGUGCACGACCGCACGCAUGUGCGCAAGUCCACGCUUGCCCAGACUCACACAUGCACAGGCACACACGCACACUCGUGCACACACAUGCAUGCACUUGUUCACAUGUGCACACUUGCACGCACGUGCACUUGUGCACACACACAUGCAUGCACUUGUGCACACGUGCACACUUGCACACAUGCGCACUCCUGCACACACAAAUGCACUUGUGCACACAUGCACUUACACGCACACUCGUGUAUGCACACUCACGCACACAUGCAUGCACGUAGGCGCACAGGCUCACGGAUGCCCACACCGCACGUGCACGCACGUGCACACAUACACAUGCACUCGCACCUGCACUCACUCAUGCACACUCACGCACGCACAUGCACACACAAGCGCUUGCGCACACAUGCACACGCACAUGCAUGCAACAUGCGCACACACUUGUACACACAUACUUGUGCACAGCUGCACACACUCACACAUGCACGUGCACAUGCGCACACCCAUGCCCAUAUGCACAUGCGCGUACACACAUGCACACACAUGUGCACACAUGCACUCAUGUGCACAGACCCGCACUCGUGCACACAUGCACAAACGCAAACACACACACACUUGUGCUCAAACACACUCGCGCAAACGCACCUGCACACACACCCACUCACACACCUGCACGCGCCCACAGACACGGUGCGCACACACCCACGCAUGCACUUGUGCACACACUCGCGCACAAACACGCUCACAGACACACAGGUGCAUGCACACACACAUGCCCUCUCAUGUGCAUUGUCUCGCCCCUCCCACAUGCGCGCACACAUGCACAUGCACCUGCGCGCACACUCGUGCACACACCUGCACGUGCACACACAUGCACUCAUGCACACACGUGCAUGCACACGCACACAUGCGCUCGUGCACACUUGCACGCAAAUGCACACAUGA